GAGCCAAUCCCAGCAAAGCCGGUCUCAGUUCGGAUUGCAGGCUGCAACUCGCCUGCAUGAAGUCGGAAUUGCUAGUAAUCGCGGAUCAGCAUGCCGCGGUGAAUACGUUCCCGGGUCUUGUACACACCGCCCGUCACACCACGAGAGUUUACAACACCCGAAGUCGGUGGGGUAACCCGCAAGGGGGCCAGCCGCCGAAGGUGGGGUAGAUGAUUGGGGUGAAGUCGUAACAAGGUAGCCGUAUCGGAAGGUGCGGCUGGAUCACCUCCUUUCUAUGGAGA
rnacentral:rRNA from 1 species